ensembl:lncRNA
GGAGGGCGUUAGGUUUUGAUAGUACAGGCUCUGGAAAAAAUGAGAAGCUGAGAAGAGAAGGAAAUCAUGGCUAAUUUAAAACCGCCUUGGAGAAGCAGGUGGGAGGAAGACCUUGAACAUUCGCUAUACUACAAUUUGAAACUGUUGUAGGUGGAUUGUCGACAAUGGUUGUUAUGCAAACUCUGAGCACUGGCUUCAGGAGCUUCUUGGAAACCUGCAAUGAGUAAUCUUCAUGUUUCUGCCAGGUCUACAAAGAGGGAGGGUGCAGUUUUGCCACAGGGCUGUUCAGAUUUUUUUCCUCCUCUCCUUUUCCAUAUGGGUAAGAAUAAAGUGAAGAAACAACAUUUUCAGAGAAGAAAGACUUGGAAAGAGUUUCUGUUUUCUGGGAGUCUGCUACAGCUGUUAAUUUGUGGAAAACCUCAGUGGAAAGUAAGCAAUAUGGCAGCAUCACUUUACACGAGAAUUCAGUGAUGGCCUUGCUCCAAGCUGUGGCUGAUUUAGGUUCUUGGCUUGCGCAGCCAAAGCUUCAUGUAGUGUCAUGCUUUUUUAUAGAUAAUGUUGAUACAGCUGUGGAAGGCUCUGAUGUUCUUUUUUUUUUUUUUAACAUGGAAUUGUCGUCAUUCAAUCAAGCUUAAGUAUUGUGGAGCUGUGAUGUUGUUUGUCUUUGGUUGUUAGUUGUUGGCGGGUGAGUCCGAGACGGGCCGAGAUGUUGUUUGGGAAAAAGAAAAGACUCCCUCCCUUCCUCCCUGCCUUCUCCACAGAAAUGCACACAGACCAUAACUUCCAUCCAAAAAUGCAGGAAUGCUGAGAAAAAUUGGAGCUGGACUCGAACAUUGCGGGCUGGGCUCCCCCACUCCCCGGCCUCUCCAAAGCACGCACGCUCUUCUCUUCCUGUAGACUUUGUUCCUCUCCAGCAUUUGUCAUGCAUAGUUGGUGGCACAUCAAGAUUUUGAAUACUGUACUGAAUGCAACAACCUCUUUUUUUCUUGGAUGGACAUUUUGUUUGCGGGGAAUACAGCAUGGUGCUCAGCUGUCUGGACAGAAAUGAACAUUGAAUGAAAUGAAAUUUUCAGCUAUGUGACAGCUAUUAGAUCAGAGAUUAGUUUUCCAGUAGAAAUGUCCAAUUAUUUAAACCUCUCCGGUAGAUGAAAGAGCUUUUGACAAUCUGUUUUGCUGAAAAGCCCUGCAAUUCGUUUGGCAUAGAUUAGAUGACCUAUUAGAGAUGAGAAAAAGGGAAAAGGAUUUAUAAUUAAUGUCAGCCCAGCUGUUAACUUGGGGAGUAUUGCUGAGUUGUAGCACAAGACGUAUCUUUCAGCUAUUUCUGCAGUGACGAUUCAUGUGUAUAUUGCAACAUGUGUCAGCAGCCUUCUGUACAGCUGUGCUGGGUUGAAGGGACUAGAGUUCCCCAUUCCUAGGUAACGCAUUAGCAUGCACUGCUGCUUCUCCAAGGCCCUGCCUCCUUUUUGAAAGCAGGCUAUUAUGAAUGGGUAAGCCCCAUGUUUUUCCAGUGCUACCUUGUCACACAAUGACUGAUCCGCUCACCUCCGUAUCUCUGGGCUAUAUGACUUUGAGUGUAUCUUCCUUGCCAACUUGGCAAGGUAUCGUGUUUCUUUCCCUGAGGGUGACUUAGGGCAGAAUCCUUGAAUCCUUCAGAGUUUCCUGGAGCAUCUGGAAAGAAGAGGAAAACCAGAGAUGGGCCAGAAAGAGGCAGGCAGAGAAAGAUGAAAGAAUUUGGGGGUGGGAAGUACUUGCUUUUGGAAUAAUCUUCCUCCUAGAUGGCCUAAGGCAAAGUAAUUUACACUUUUUGGUAACGUGCAGGAUGGCCCAGCCCUUGCUCUUAUGAGUAAACAUUUCAAAGGUGCCUGCAGGGCCCUCUAUUUAUGUUUUUAUAAGCUACUUAGUCUCCUUUGAGUCUCGGGCUAUAUCCUCACUGCCAAUAGUGGAGUUAGCUCGAAGUGUAGUAGUGUCUUUUGGAGACACCUGAGCUAGACUGAAGCAGCUCAGCUGCGAGAAGUAGUUUACUCCACAGCAGCGCAUAUGUCAAAGCACUGUACCUGCCCGACGCAUUAUCUUGUCCUGUGCCAACUCUUGUUUCAAGUAAGGCUUUCACUGCAACCCUGCCUUCUCUGCAGCUGCCCACUGAAGCUCAAGGACAUAAAACAGUCACAGUAGGGUAUGGGGUUGGGAGCUGGAGUCACUUUGGUGCUUUCGAAAACGUUUUUUAUGGCUAAACCCACAUUCCCUGUUAGCACUGUUAAAUGCUUUCCUGUUUUCCUCUUCCCCUUGAACUCACACUGCUGUUCUAACCGAGAAUCGUGUUUUGUUUCUAAUGACAGAGCAAAGGUGCCAAAAUAUUUCAGUAGCUCCCCUAGGAACAUCUGCAACUUCUUUAGCUAUUUUCACAGCUGGCCAUAACUUUAUAUUAUUUCUGAAUGCUCAUAGCACCAAAUCUGGGAUCCUGGAGGAGAACAAUGGCUAAUUUCCUUGUAUUGGAAUUUAGAAUUUGCAAAACGAUGCACUAGCAACUUUGAAUAAAUGCUGAGAGACAGAGCUAUGAGGGAUUUUGUCAUUUGGAAGGCAAAGUUGCUAAACUCCAAACAGAGCUUAGACUGAUCUUCUGACACAGGGUAAAGCUGGGGUUGGGUGAGGUCAAAACCUGUAGAAAUUUCAACUGAUAUCACAACUACUGCUGAUAUUCAUGCUGCCCAUGUAGAAGAAGCUCCAUUGGAUCACUGCCUCCACUAUGGUUGCUGUCAUCUUUGAUGGAAAUAAGAAGAGUACAUUCUUACAGCUCUAAUGUGAGACUGAGUUCUUGGGACUGGAAUUAAGUCUGGGGGUUCGAACUUCCACUCAGUAAAAUUCCUGUGGACCUUUAAUUGCCGCUCUGAUUUAUUAGUUGUGCUUAGCUGGUCUAAAAGUGAAAACAAUCUCAAGGUAUUUAAUCAAUAUAUUGAUCUAUCGCUCAUAAUCUGUGCCCUCUUCACUCCCUAUACUGGUCUAGCAAAACAUGUUAAAAAUAUGCUGGAAAGGUGCCAGGUUAUUUAACCACUAAGAAAUGUAUUAGAACCAAAGAAGUUUGAGGCUUAUCACCCACAACAACUGCACCCUGACCCCCAGUGAGUAAUAGACUGUGCCCUGUUUCUUGAGGAGGCAGAUCUGCAGCUGUGAUAUGAACAUGGAUAAGAGUAGUGCUUGCAGGGUGAGGAACAGAGAAUGAAAUCAUAGAAUCAUUAAGGUUGGAAAAGAUCUGUAAGAUCACCUAGUCAAACCAUCAACCCAUCCCCACCAUGGCCACUAACCAUGUCACUCAGUGCCACAUCCACAUGUUUAUGGAACACCUCCGGGGAUGGCGACCCCACCACCUCCCAGGGCAACCUGUGCCAGUACCUCACUGCUCUUUCUGAGAAGGAAUGUUUCCUAAUAUGCAACCUGGACCUCCCCUGGCACAACUUGAGGCCAUUACCUCUCAUCCUAUCACUAGUUUCCCCGGUCGACUGCAUGCCUCCUCAGGAGGUCUCAUCUCAGCGUUGGUGUCUUUCGCCAACGGUAUGGGCAGGCUGCACAGAGCCACCAUCUGUAUCUGCUUCUGAAGAAGUCCUUGGUGGUCCACCUUAUGGGGAAGAUAGAGCUGCUGAGUGAAGGAUGCGGGUAGUGGAGGACAGUGUUACGUGCCUCUUCCUGAAGAUGGAAGACACUGCUUCCUGAAGACGCUGCUUCCCAAAUGCUGUAUCUGUGCAUGGCCCC